rnacentral:rRNA from 1 species
GUGAACGCUGGCGGUAGUCCUAACACAUGCAAGUCGAACGGCAGCACAGUAAGCGCUUGCUCUUACGAGUGGCGAGUGGCGGACGGGUGAGGAAUACAUCGGAAUCUACUUUUUCGUGGGGGAUAACGUAGGGAAACUUACGCUAAUACCGCAUACGAUCUACGGGUGAAAGCAGGGGAUCUUCGGACCUUGCGCUAUUGAAUGAGCCGAUGUCGGAUUAGCUAGUUGGCGGGGUAAAGGCCCACCAAGGCGACGAUCCGUAGCUGGUCUGAGAGGAUGAUCAGCCACACUGGAACUGAGACACGGUCCAGACUCCUACGGGAGGCAGCAGUGGGGAAUAUUGGACAAUGGGCGCAAGCCUGACCCAGCCAUACCGCGUGGGUGAAGAAGGACUUCGGGUUGUAAAGCCCUUUUGUUGGGAAAGAAAAACAGCAGGUUAAUACCCCGCUGUUCUGACGGUACCCAAAGAAUAAGCACCGGCUAACUUCGUG